GGGCACAGGAUGGGGAGGGGAAGAAAAAGAGGGCUCCACGGGAGCAGACAGAAUUACCUCCUGGAUAGCACUUAGGAAAUCAUCUAAUCCAACCCCUUGCAUUACAUUUGAGGAAACUGAGGCACAGAGAGGAGAUGGGUCUCCAUGGUGGUAGAGAUCAGGAAAAUGAGCCAGAGAGAAGUGCUCUGUUCAAAUCACACAUUCAAGCGAAACGUCAGAGUCCGGCUCCAGGGUCAUGUGGAAAUGCCAUUAAAGAUAAGCAGUGGGAGCCUGAAGAAGAGAGCUGCUCGGGACUAGAACCCCUGCCAGCUCCGUAGAUCCACCAGGUGGGCCUCAGCAGGCGCUGUUGUCGGCAGGGGUUAUGGAGGAUCCAGACGCAGGAGCAUUACUUUGCCCUGAAUAAGCAUAUGCAAUAUUGACAGAAAACUGCCCAUUGAAAAGAUUUUUAAAGGUGGAAUCUCUUACCAAAGGGGAUUUUGAUGCCCAAUAGUCAUCAGAAAAGUGAAAAAAUUCACGCUCCAUGGAGCUAAAAACUGUCUCCCUAGGGAGAUGGGAAAAGCAGUCCCCAAAAUAAAAAAG
rnacentral:lncRNA from 1 species